rnacentral:rRNA from 1 species
UAGGGAAUCUUCGGCAAUGGGGGGAACCCUGACCGAGCAACGCCGCGUGAGUGAAGAAGGUUUUCGGAUCGUAAAGCUCUGUUGUUAAGGAAGAACGAGUGUGAGAAUGGAAAGUUCAUACUGUGACGGUACUUAACCAGAAAGGGACGGCUAACUACGUGCCAGCAGCCGCGGUAAUACGUAGGUCCCGAGCGUUGUCCGGAUUUAUUGGGCGUAAAGCGAGCGCAGGAGGUUAGAUAAGUCUGAAGUUAAAGGCAGUGGCUCAACCAUUGUAGGCUUUGGAAACUGUUUAACUUGAGUGCAGAAGGGGAGAGUGGAAUUCCAUGUGUAGCGGUGAAAUGCGUAGAUAUAUGGAAGAACACCGGUGGCGAAAGCGGCACUCUUGUCUGUAACUGACGCUGAGGCUCGAAAGCGUGGGGAGCGAACAGG